GAUGAACGCUAGCUACAGGCUUAACACAUGCAAGUCGCGGGGCAGCAUGGGGGUUGCUUGCAAUCCCCGAUGGCGACCGGCGCACGGGUGAGUAACGCGUAUCCAACCUGCCCUUCACCACGGGAUAACCCGGCGAAAGUCGGACUAAUACCGUAUGUUGUCCAUUGACGGCAUCCGAGUAGGACGAAAGGGUGGGCGGUGAAGGCUGGGGAUGCGGCCGAUUAGCUGGACGGCGGGGUGACGGCCCACCGUGGCGACGAUCGGUAGGGGUUCUGAGAGGAAGGUCCCCCACACUGGAACUGAGACACGGUCCAGAGUCCUACGGGAGGCAGCAGUGAGGAAUAUUGGUCAAUGGGCGUAAGCCUGAACCAGCCAAGUAGCGUGCAGGAUGACGGCCCUAUGGGUUGUAAACUGCUUUUAUGCGGGGAUAAAGUGGCCCACGUGUGGGUUUUUGCAGGUACCGCAUGAAUAAGGACCGGCUAAUUCCGU
rnacentral:rRNA from 1 species